UUUGAAGGAAUGAUUAUUAAAUUAUGAAUAAAACUGUGGAUGUUCAAAGUUGGGAAUUAGAUGCUGACUCUCAAGUGAAGAGGCCAACAUCAAUAUACAGUGCAAUUGUGGACAGUUUUUUCAUCAAUCGAUUUAUAUGGAAACAUCGUCGGUUCCAUUUGUUUCUCUCACUUUUGGGAAUCGGUGCAUUCACAGCUAGAACAAUAGCAUUUAUCCUGGAAAUUAUUUCAAAUCCAAAUUCACCAAAUCUCUCCAUUUCUUCCUUCAUCUUAUAUGCCAUCUCUCAGGUCUGGGUUUUGUACGCAGUUUUGGAAAAUUUUGCAUUUCCUUCUGUUAAAUUCAUCAAAUCAUUUGACGAGAUUUGGAGCGAAUUGCCACUCUCAAGUGAACCUGAAAUUGUAACUGCAAUCAAAAAAUCAAAUAGAUUCUCUAAUAUUGUUUCAUUUUGUAUUCUCAUCAAUUCUAUCACAAUACUUAUUGCUUCCUCUACAAUUGAAUAUUUAUCCACUCUAAAUGCAUCCAUAAUCUACUUUUUAGGCAACAAAUCAGUUGAACUUUAUGCCAAUCUAAUUAUUGCCAAUAUACUUCGAGGUUUCCUCAUUUCAGGAGGUUAUAUCAAGAUUGGUCAUCAAUAUAUUUACAAUGAAAUUGUUGCUAUAGCUGGAGAUGCCACUGCUCCUGAUUUAAGUUUUUGUCGACUUCGCCAUGAACAUCACGAUCUAGUCCAAUGUGGUCAUUUAUGUGAUGCUGCUUUCAGACGAUUUGUAACAACAGUCUGUUCUGUCCAAGUUCCCAUGGCAGUUUUAAUCAUCUACAAUAAUCUUUACAUGGAUAUAGACGUUAUCACUAGAGUCAAUUAUUUUCUUGCUUUACUUGAUUUUGGUACUUUCAUAGCAUUCUUUGUUCCGUGUUUGGUUGGCUUUUAUUCAUUUCCCUCUCAAGCUCGUGAUUAUAUUUAUUUUUCAACUUUGGUAGGAAGAAGCAAUCUUUUCAAGUCAGAGGCUUUACAUUUUAUUGACAUGAUAAACUUGAAAUCGUGUGGCAUAAAAUUCAUGGGAUUGUACCUGUUGACUCCAGAUAUUAUACCAACUUUCGCUACAAUUGUAUUUACGUAUGUAAUGGCUAUUCCUAAUUUUAGGAAUGCAGUAUGAAUUGAUUGGUGAAUCGUGAAGACAUAAAACUCGAAUUUAAAGGUUUGUUGCUAAAUUUUUACUGUUAUUACAGACCAUAUCGCACCUUAUAGCGAUAGUCCUGGACGACAUCCCUUGCCCAGUCCCAAGUACAUCACAGCAACUUAUCUACCAUUUGGAGCAACCACUGAUGAGGAUCCUAGCAGUUCCUCAGGGACUCAAGAUUCUUGUUUGGGCUACUAUAUGGAGUUGACGGAGGUGGUGAAGGAAAAAACGAUUCGAUUCGUGUGGCAAUAGACAGACCACCGGGCAGAAUAAAGUGCUUGGUGCCUUGGCGCAGUGUUUGUUUGAUUUCGUCAUAUCGGCAAAAAAAACAAAAUUUAAACUAAAAAACUUGUAAGAAAAACAACCAAAUGUAGAAAUAAGAUCGAAAUUAAAGUGAAACCCUUGGUCAUAAAGA